rnacentral:sRNA from 1 species
GCUGUGUGUGGUGGUUCAUGCCUGUAAUCCCAGCAGCUAGGGAGGCUGGAGCAGGAGGGUCUUGAAUUCAAAAACAGCCUGAGCAACUUAACGAGACCCUGUUCCUA